UACGAAGGGUGCAAGCGUUACUCGGAAUUACUGGGCGUAAAGCGUGCGUAGGUGGUGAGUUAAGUCUGUCGUGAAAGCCCCGGGCUCAACCUGGGAAUGGUGAUGGAUACUGGCUCGCUAGAGUGCGGUAGAGGAGAGUGGAAUUCCCGGUGUAGCAGUGAAAUGCGUAGAGAUCGGGAGGAACAUCAGUUGCGAAGGCGGCUCUCUGGACCAGCACUGACACUGAGGCACGAAAAGCGUGGGGGAGCAAACAGG
rnacentral:rRNA from 1 species